AUUUCUGGAAACUCAACAACCUUCCAGCCAACUGUUUAUUUCUGGAAACUCAGAAAUCAUCUUGCUAAAAGCUCAACUCAGGAUGGAUCCAGAGUUGAAGUCCAUCAUCUCUCACUUGGCCAAGUUGAAAAAGGCCAUGGCUGAAAGUGAACAACAACCCGAGGAAGCUACGCCAUCAAAUUACAAGGUGAUGUCCCAAGAUACGUCCUUUGCCCUUUGUACCCACUUCAACCUCCAGAUGAAGUGGUGAAGAUUUGGGCCAAGCAAAGUGAUGAUCCUCCGCCUUUCACCAUGGAGUUUGAUUGGAAAUCAACAUGGGAAGCUCUUCGACCUUUUAAAGGUUGGCCAUGCAAAACUUCUGAGGUUGAUUGUGUGGCUAAGAAGAAGUCCAAAGCCAAGAAACCCAACCCAGUGGCCGAUGUUGAUCCUAAGAAAAAUUGGUAUGAUUGGUACAAAGCUUUGGAACCAAGACUAAAGACUUCUUGGCAAAAAAGUGUGAUCUAUGAUGUCUUGGCUCUUUGCACCUCCGGGGACUUUCCUUGUGAUUGUUCACUCAUCAUCGCAGGCCUAUGUUUUUGGUCAUCCUCCGUUAACUGCAUGAGGUUACAUUGUGGGAUGAUGACCCCUGCUCUACUUGAUCUGGCUGCUAUUGUUGGCCUCCGUCCACAUGGUGUGGUUUAUUCAGCGGCCGACCUUCCAGAACCCCUUUUGAAGCCGGACUACGACAAGCCCAACAAGAAUUUCACCAACUGGAUCAAAACCCACUUUGGCUACAUCGGGUCAUCUUUUGGGGCUCCGAUAGGUUCCACAAAUGGUGUGUCUUACAUGAAGCACAUAGCCUUUCUUCAGAUGUGACUAUGCAAAUUCUUGACUUGCUCAAAAUCUAGCCAAGUCACCAAAGAAGUCCAACCUUUGGCUGAGGCUCUUGCAGAUGGCCAAGCAGUGGCCUUGGUUGUUUUGCCCAAACCCAUGUCAUGCAACCCUUUAGGCCCGAUUUGGCUUUUUCAACUGUGGCCCCAAGUUUACUUCCCGGAGUUGGGUCUAGCCAACGUCACAUUUCGGGGUGACUCACUUCUAGGAAAAUCGAUUGCUAGCCUCCCGUUGCCUAAACACCAUGUUGAGGACUGCUUCAGAUUUUUCUAUGGAUGUUCACAGAGGUCACCUAGUGACUUAUCCAUGUGCUUAGAUCAUCGUUACCCAGGUUAUUUGGCUUUGGACCUUGCCAGCAUCCCCACACUGGAGACCAAGGAAGAACGGUGAGAACUUUGGGCAAGUAUCUUAAUCAGUCAAGAUCUUCCUUAUGGCCUUGCAUUGAACAAAGCGAACCAUUAUCCUUGCGGUUGUGAGGUUUACUAUCUUGUUGCCGUUGGUCGUCAGACGGGUUUUAUUCAGGACCAGCGACCCUGAAUUUGGCUUCACCAAAUCCUUCAAGGCUUGGUGGGGGGAAAUAUCAGCCACUUGGUUUUCCCAACCUUCUGAGGUCUAUAUGAAGAGGAUCUUCUGGGGUUGCGCUUGCUCUUCUACUUAUUACAAUUUUAAGCAAGCCACAAAAGAGGCGAGUGCCGACUCUAGUCAUAGUCAAGGUGAGGAGAGGCCACUUCCUUCCACCCAAGAUUUUGGGGAGGAUUAGAACUCCUCCGGCUACGUUGUUGAGAUUCCACCAGCCGAUGACAUCAUCCUUGCUCGACCGAGAAAGAUCUCUAGGAACCCAAUGUCCCCAGGUAUGAUCGUAUUUUUUUUUUUGGAAUAAUAAUAAGACUUUGGCCUUAUAGGCUCGAGUAGGAUAGUAGAGCAACCCAAUCCCACUCACUCAGCCGUUUCUUCUUCGACCAUUUCGGAAUUUCGAAAUCCCAUAUUUGAGACUGAAGUUGGUGGACAGACCGCUACUUCUGAGGCUGAAGUUGAGACGGAGGUUAUCGGUGUCAACCCUUCCACCAACCCAGACGUCGUCAUGGCCGAGCCUCAACAAGUCACCCAGCCAUCAGGAAGUCGCGAGGUUGAUCGCGGAGUCAUUGAUGACCCGUCUCACAUUCCAGAUCAUCAGUCUCGAGACCACCCCGGUUAACCCUACGACAGUUAGAGAGGAAGUUCAAAUUUUACCAGAUCAGUCCUCAGAUCCCCAGACCCGACCGACCAUUCCACAGAUGUUCAAAUUCUUCAGACCACUUCGGCCAAUCAGACGGCCAAUGUCAAUGGUGUACUUCCGGCCAUCCCAGUCACAUUGAGCGAUGAGCCUGUAUCACGGAUCCCUCAACCGUCAUCGGAUGUGUCCACACCUAUUCUGACAGAUCAGCAACAUGAGGGAUGUCUUGACAUCUUUCUUUUCAAUGUUUAAAUAUUAUCCUAACCCAUCUGAUCCCAUGCUAGGUUGGAGAACCUAUUAUGCCCGAUCUUUCUUCCGUUCGGGCAUUUACAGCUAGAGCUUUGGUUGAGAGUGGCAGCGAGCAACCAUCAUCGACAAACCAAGAUGACCUUAUUCAGUCGCUUCUGGACCAUGCCCCUGGCGACAUCUUUGCUUAUCUCGAUCAGUGGGAUGCUUCUGCCACUACUGCGGAGGCUUCCACUCGUCAUGCCACUUCUUUAACUGUGGCUGUGGUACUUCCAGAUCCUGCAGCUGAGGCCCUGCUUCGGUCCUACAGAGAUCGAGAUUGCAUAUCCUUGGCCGACCAGGAUGAGAGAGACAAGGUCAAAGCUGCUAUUGAGUCAUUGGUGAACUCCAGCUUCUUUCCUGACCAGACUACGAUACGUAUGAUCAUGCAUCUCUUUGGAGAGGUGGCGAGAUUGAUUCCCUGCCAUCCUUCCCUUCGAGAGGAGCUAAGGGUAGGUGAGGCCUUAAAGCAGCAGAUUGCUUCGACAAGUGUCAUUAUUAGGCAAAAGGUCGAGCUUGACCGUAAGAAGAGGCACGAGGUUUAGAGUAUUGAUGAGCAGAUCAGGCAACUUCAGGAAAGGAAGGCUGCCAUUCUCAUCGAGGUCUCCAAGGAUAUUCGGAGUUAUGGGCCUCUUGAGGCUCAGCUUCUCCAGGACUCAGUUGUAGUGAAGUCAUUUGAGGCGAGGAAGCUACCCAUCAUAUCUGCCUUAUCUGCUGGAGAGAGCGCAUGUGAGAGCUUCAAGACUACUCUUCGUAGCCUGUUUCCUGAUGUUUAGAUAUGUAUUAGGCCAUUAGUUGGCCUUUUUUAUAUCCAGCUAGACUUACCUUUUGUUGUCAUCAUAUAUGAUGGAGCUAGCUUUUGUCUAUUUUGAUGAAUGUUUUGGCCAUUACUUGGCCUAUUUUGUAGAGAACUUAUUUGACAUA